AUGGGCUCCGCUUCCGCUUCUGCGUCCUCGUCGGAGGCGGAGGAGGAGCCCGGCCGCGCUCCGCCACCGCGCAUGACCACGGUCUCGCACCACUACUUCGGCGGCUCCUCGUCCGAGCGCGACCACGACCUCCGCGUCGACAUCGUCGAGAAUAUAGAAGAGGAUUACGGGAUGUUCGUCUGGCCAUGCAGCGUCAUCCUCGCGGAAUACGUGUGGCAGCAGAGGCCACGGUUCUCCCGCUCCAGAGUUGUCGAGCUUGGUGCGGGAACCUCGCUACCGGGUUUAGUAGCUGCAAAGGUUGGAGCACAUGUUACGCUGACAGACAUUGCGCAUAAUACAGAAGUACUGGACAAUAUACAGCAAAUAUGCAGUCUCAAUAACGCGAACUGUACGGUAUUAGGACUUACUUGGGGAGAUUGGGAUGAACCUGUUUUUGAUUUGCACCCUGAUAUUAUUCUCGGAGCCGAUGUGCUUUAUGAUUCAGCAAAGUUUGAUGAUCUCUUCGCGACGGUUACCUUCCUCCUGGAAAAUUCUCCUGGGGCAGUGUUCAUCACCACAUACCACAAUCGCAGUGGUCACCACUUGAUUGAAUUUUUGAUGGUGAAGUGGGGUUUGAAAUGUUUGAAGCUUCUGGACGGCUUCUCUUUCCUUCCUUCUUGCAAGGCUGAUUCACUACAGGGAAAUAUUCAGCUUGUUGAGAUCACACUUGAGAAGGGAAAACCUAAAUGA
rnacentral:rRNA from 1 species